UUGUUUCCUCACAGCUGCAAAAUCGGCUGACAAAUCAACUCCUGAG
rnacentral:sRNA from 1 species